AGUGGUGUUCACAAUACAAAUCAGAUACAGACUCUUAAGACUCUAGAAUUUCUAAGAUAUGAACUUUGAUAAGAAAUUCUAAGUGAACUUUUGAUGCAGAACAAUUUCAGUAGAGUUUUGGCGCUUAAAAAUUGUUGUAGAGUCUUGACAUUCUCUAAGUCUUCACUCCUUUAUAUAGAGGUGUGAAAGAGACGUUGUGAAUUGCUAGCACAUCAAAAUAGAGUCGUUUGAAGCUUUGAUCAAU
rnacentral:lncRNA from 1 species